rnacentral:rRNA from 1 species
AACGAACGCUGGCGGCAGGCCUAACACAUGCAAGUCGAACGCCGUAGCGAUACGGAGUGGCAGACGGGUGAGUAACGCGUGGGAACAUACCCCUCGGUUCGGAAUAACUCAGGGAAACUUGAGCUAAUACCGGAUACGUCCAAGGUUUUAAUCGACCUUGGAGAAAGAUUUAUCGCCGGAGGAUUGGCCCGCGUCUGAUUAGCUUGUUGGUGGGGUAAUGGCUCACCAAGGCGACGAUCAGUAGCUGGUCUGAGAGGAUGAUCAGCCACAUUGGGACUGAGACACGGCCC